CUAAACUCAGACCUCUGACUCCUGGGUCCAUACCUCUCAACCCCGAGAACAGCCAUGAACAAAGAAAUGCAAUUUUUUUCAAAUUGCUGAAAUAUGCGUUCUUGAUUUAAGCAGGCUCAAGAGAUCAUUCUUAAAACACUUGUACUUAGGUAAAUAUACAGUGCAGGAAAUAUGCAAGACUUUCAGAAUUUAAAAAAACUUGUCACUGUUCUUUCAAUAAACAAGACUUUAUUCCUUUCUUAAGUGAGCUACUUUCAUCAUAUUUUUGCCAAUUGAAUAUUGUCCCACACUUGCUCUGCAUAAGCACUUUCUGAAACUGGUAUAAAAAAGUUGGUAUCUUACCAGUCUGGUUUUUAUUUCCCUCUACACACCACUUUGGCAGUUUAUAUUGCUUAGAACCCAUUGCUUGGGGGUGGAGGGUGGUGGGGGGGCUAGGAAAUGUGUAAGCUUUUGAUUACAAGAGUUAUGCAUCUUGAUCUUAAAAUUAUGUUUGCUUUGCAAAGAAGAGAAGGUUCUGGAAUAGAGUGUCUCCUUGGCAGUUUAUAUGUCUUUAUCUUGGCUCAGACUUAGGCCAGACAACAAGCAAGCUGCCCACUGCUAAGACUGCAUCUAUUCUGUGAAAGCCUGUGGGGCAUUUCAGGAAGGCAAGGGUCCUGGUUGUGUGCAUGGAGGUGAAAUCUGGCUUUUCAUGAGCCUGAUUCCUUCCAUUUCUUUCAGGAAAAAGAGGAGCAAAGCCAUCAAAUUUCCAGAUCUGGCUUGCAAAAUUUCUGGAAAGACAUGCUGCUACCAAGGUUUUGGGUGAGCAUGUGGUCAUUUCUGCCUUGCCAACUUCACUUUCCCCAUUAGGACGGAAGUGGUUGUCAGCCUUCUAUGCGAGUUGGACAGCACAGUCUGCACGUGCUCUUGCUCUGUCUCUGUGGAGUGCACCUGGGCAGCAGAGAUACCCCAGCCUCUGGCACUGCACUUGCCUUACAAGUUGAAGGUAGAGACAAGACACACAUUCAUUUCUUUUAAAAACAUCAUGCUAAGUCCAGAGGUUGGCACCCUUCCCUGGAGAGGCCUGAACGCCCUGCCCUCCCACUGCCAAGUCUUUCUUUUCUCUUUCCUGUGGCCCUUCUUGAUCCAGGUCUGCUCUAACUGGAAAGCCAGGUCCCCAGAGAUGAGCCCUGUGGUGCUGAGGAGGUGGGAGUCAAGGGAAAUGCCCCCCAUCUCCAAAGCCAGGGGCCUCUCCACACACGCUGGGUAAUUUUGGGACAGCAGGGAUGAUGUCUGUCUCACAAGACAUUGCCACUUUAAAGUAUUCAAGAUCCUGUAUUUUCUACAACCUUAGUGAGGCAUGAGCAUAUGAAGCCAGUGAAAAAACAGUUCAUUCAUUCAUUUAUUCAUUCAUCCAUUCAAAAGACUUUCACAGGUGGCAAGAUGGCUGAAUAGGAACAGCUCUGGUCUGCAGCUCCCGGCGAGGUGGAUGCAGAAGAAAGAUGGAGAAGCAAUGAAGAGACAUUCACGUGGAUACCCACAUAUGCAGGGAAAGUGCCCACACAUGUUUGGACUGGAGACAAACUACAAGAGUUGAUGUCCUUGAGGAGGGAGACUGGGACUAUCCAAAGAUGGCAUGAGUCCCCCACACAUGCUCUUUCAAAACUUUGCCCCACCUUCAUCAGGAAAUGGCAUCUAAUUCCCUUUCCCUUGAAUCCAGGAAGGGCUUGUGACUCUCCUGGAACUGACAGAAUACAGCAGAAAUGAGGCAGUGUGACUUCUGAGGCUAGGUCCUGAAAGGCAAUGCAGCUUCUGCCUUGUGAGCUAUUAUAGAACACACCUGUGGGGCUCUGAACCACUUUGUAAGACGUCUGCAGCCACCAUGCUAGGAGGAAGCCCAAGCUACACAGAGGUAUCAUGUGCAGUUGUUGCAGCUAACUGAGGGCCCAACUGACAGCACUACUCUCUGCCAAAUCAGUAAAUUAAGACACCCUGACGGCUCCUGCCCUGGCCAUUGGGUCAUCCCAACCUCUAAGCCUUCCUAUCUGAAGCUGCACUUUGUGGAGCAGAAAGAAACACUCCUUCUUGUGCCUGUUCGGCAUUCAUGACUCUCAUAAUCUGUGAGUAAAAAAAAAUGGUUGUUUUAAAUCACUACGUUUUGAGAUAAUUUGUCGCACAACAAUAGUAAGUAGAAUUUCAACUUGAUGUAUAAUGGCUUAUUUCUCUGCAAAAAAAUCUAAAUAAAAUACAACAAAAUGCU
rnacentral:lncRNA from 1 species